rnacentral:rRNA from 1 species
UACGAAGGGUGCAAGCGUUACUCGGAAUUACUGGGCGUAAAGCGUGCGUAGGUGGUUUGUUAAGUCUGAUGUGAAAGCCCUGGGCUCAACCUGGGAACUGCAUUGGAAACUGGCUUACUAGAGUGCGGUAGAGGGGUGUGGAAUUCCCCGGUGUAGCAGUGAAAUGCGUAGAUAUCGGGAGGAACAUCUGUGGCGAAGGCGACACCCUGGACCAGCACUGACACUGAGGCACGAAAGCGUGGG